rnacentral:rRNA from 1 species
AACGAACGCUGGCGGCGUGCCUAACACAUGCAAGUCGAACGAGAAACUCCGGGCUUGCUCGGAGGAGUAAAGUGGCGCACGGGUGAGUAACGCGUGGGUAACCUGCCCCUAAAUCUGGGAUAACUUCGCGAAAGCGUUGCUAAUACCGGAUAUCGUCCCGAAGGCUUUGGCUUUUUGGAUGAAAGUGACCUCUUCAAGAAAGUUGCCGUUCAGGGAUGGGCCCGCGUACCAUUAGCUAGUUGGUAGGUAAUGGCCUACCAAGGCAAUGAUGGUUAGCUGGUCUGAGAGGAUGAUCAGCCACACUGGAACUGACACACGGUCCAGACUCCUACGGGUGGCAG